rfam:Streptomyces regalis strain NRRL 3151 P010contig36.1, whole genome shotgun sequence.
AACAUGUAUGCUCAUGCUCGCUGUCGCCGCAGGGGAAUCCGGUGCGAAUCCGGAACUGUCCCGCAACGGUGUACUCGUACACGUAUGCCCGCAUACCGUCGUACGAGAGUCAGUCCGAGGACCUGCCGACAGCGCGCCCGGCCA